UGGCCGGGAGCCUGUCGGAGGGGGGCCGUGCCCGCGCUGGAGCCUGCUGGCGGCUGGUGACAUUUAUUUUCUAAAUGCUGGGAUUAAGUUUGGCUUCUUAAUGUCAUAAUAGCAACAGAUCCAUAUCUCGCCUGCUCCUGAAGUGCAGGGUUGGUCUGUGCGUUGGUCCUGCUGGCACCUCCAUGGAAAAGGCAGAAUGAGAGAGAAGCAACAGGCCUCAACCAGUCUGGGAAAUAAAUAUUCCAUUAAAAUUGGGGAAAAAAAAAAACGGUGAGGAGGGUCUGCAACUGUACACAAAAUGCUCAAAGCUUGGCAACCUAGCGACGGAUAUUGGACGGAAUUCCACCUUUCUUCUCCUCCCCAGUGCCAUCUGCAGGCCUGCAGCAGGGUGUCCAUAAGCAGCACUGCACCUCAUCCAAAGACCCCAAAACCUUCAGAGAAUGAAUCAAGUACACCCUCAGCAAUUUGCUGAUGACACCAAGCUGAGUGGUGCGGUUGACACGGUGGAAGGAAGGGAUGCCAUUCAGAGGGACCUCAACAGACUUGACAGCGAAUGCGGAUGGGGAACCUCAACCGUCCAGGAAUCCUAGAGGUGAUCAUGGACUGGCCUGAAGGCACAAAGUUUGGAACAUCACCAGCAGAAGAGGUAUCAUGUGCUAGCUAACCAUACAGUGAACUAGCAGAAAAUGAAAAGAAAUUUGCCCUGUUCACAGACCGAUUGUAUCGUAUGGUAGAGAAGCAUUGCAGAUGGAAAGCUGGUGUGUGGAGCCCCACAUGACAAGCCACAUGACACUGAAGGAAAAGGAGAAUCAAGUGAGUUCACAGAGGUAAAGGCCAUCCAGCUGGCCUUAGAUGUUGCUGAAUGGGAGAGGUAGCCAGUGAUUUAUCUUUACACUGACUCGUGGAUGGUGGCAAAUGCCUUAUGGGGGUGGUUACAGCAGUGGGAACAAAACAACUGGCAAUGGAAAGGUAAACCUAUUUGGGCUGCUGAACUGUAGAAAAAUAUUGCUGCCCAAACAAAAAAUAUGGUUACAAAGGUGCGUCACACAGAUGCCCGUGUGUCCAAAGUAGAGCUACUGAAGAUCAGCAAAAUAGCCAUCAGGUAGUUCGAGCUGCCAGAAUUGAGGUGGCUUAAAUAGACCUGGACUGGCAGAACAAGGAAGAAUUAUUUCUAGCUCAGUAGGUCCACAAGAGCUGAGGCCAUCAAGGAAGAUACAUGACAUAUAAGUGGGCCAGAGACUGUGGACUUAACCCGACAGAGGGGUGGACUUAACUAUGGAUGCAAUUGCACAAGUUGUUCAUGUCUGCAACACGUGCCAUAAUUAAACAAGCCAAGAGGAUGAAACCUCUCUGGGGGGAAAGGGUGAUGGCAAAACUACAAAUAUGGGAAAGCAUAGCAGGUUGAUUGUAUCAUCUUGCCACGAUCUCACAGUGUAAGUGUUACGUGCUCACCAUGGUAGAGACAACCACUCAGUUACUUGAAACAUAUGCAGUACCCCAUGCUACCACCCGAGACACAAUAUUAGAUCUGGAGAAGCAAAUCUUGUGGUGACAUGGCACCCCAGAAAGAAUUGAAUCAGAUAAUGGGAUCCAUUUCAAAAUUUCACGUGUGGAUAUUUGGGCCAGAGAACAUGGUAUUGAGUGGAUUUAUCAUAUCCCCUACCAUGCACCAGCCUCUGGUAAGAUCAAAUGCUACAACAGGUUGUUAAAAACCAUGUUGAAAGCAAUGGGUGGUGGAACAUUAAAGCAUCGGGAGAAGCAUUCAGCAGAAGUCACCUGGUUGGUCAAUACUAGAAGAUCAGUCCUACCCACUCCAGCUUCCUACAUACUGUAGAGGGAGAUAAGGUCCCUAUGGUACGUGUAAAAAGCACAUUGGGAAAAGCAGUCUGGGUCCUUCCAGCUUCUGGAAAGGGCAAACCCCUCUGUGGAACUGUUUUUGCACAGGGACCUGGGCACACUUGGUGGGUGAUGGAGAAAAAUGGGAAUGUCCAGUGUGUACCACAAGGGAAUUUGAUGCUGGGGGAGUAGUCAGUGAUUCCACAUGUACAUUUGUAUAUAGACAUGUGCAUAUGUAACGCAUGUUAAUUAUUUCUUUGUUUGUAUAUAGGUAUUUGUUAAGCGUGAUGUGGUGAUCUGGAAUAAGGGGUGGAAUGUUGUGGUUUUGUGAUUUUUUACUGUCGGUAUUCCACAUCAGAACAUCGUGUGAACCAGCGGGAGUAAAAGAGUUCAUGUUCUGGUUCCAUUUACUGCCUCUUAAGGGCAUUUCAAGUAUUCUGAUUGGAGGGGCGGCAUUCCUGGAGGACUCCUGGAGGCGCGAAGAGGAAGAUGGGUGGAGCUCCGGACAGGACCCCGUGCUUCUUUCCCCCUCAGGCCCAGCUCACUCUCGGUUUGCGAUAGAGAAAAGCAUAUAUUUCUUUGCAGUCUACUAGAGUAAGACUACUUCAUCUACUAUCUCAUACUUUGGAUGCUCUUGUCUCUCAUUUCGUUCAAUUUGGUUAAAUUUAGUAAAUUAACGUUCCUUCCCGUUACCGGGAGGCAACCA